rnacentral:rRNA from 2 species
AACGAACGCUGGCGGCAGGCUUAACACAUGCAAGUCGAGCGCGCUGUAAGAGGCUUGCCUUUUACAGUGAGCGGCAGACGGGUGAGUAACGCGUGGGAAUCUACCUUAAGCUGCGGGAUAACAGAGAGAAAUUUCUGCUAAUACCGCAUGUGCCCUUUUGGGGAAAGAUUUAUCGGCUUAAGAUGAGCCCGCGUUGGAUUAGCUGGUUGGUAGGGUAAAGGCCUACCAAGGCGACGAUCCAUAGCUGGUCUGAGAGGAUGAUCAGCACACUGGGACUGAGACACGGCCCGGACUCCUACGGGAGGCAGCAAUGGGGAAUAUUGGACAAUGGGCGCAAGCCUGAUCCAGCCAUGCCGCGUGAGUGAAGAAGGCCUUAGGGUUGUAAAGCUCUUU